rnacentral:rRNA from 1 species
GUGAGGAAUAUUGCGCAAUGGAGGCAACUCUGACGCAGCCAUGUCGCGUGCAGGAAGAAGGCGCUACGCGUUGUAAACUGCUUUUAACCGGGAAGAAACCCCAGGACGUGUCCUGGGUUGACGGUACCGGAGGAAUAAGCACCGGCUAACUUCGUGCCAGCAGCCGCGGUAAUACGAAGGGUGCAAGCGUUAUCCGGAUUCAUUGGGUUUAAAGGGUGCGUAGGCGGAGCGUUAAGUCAGUGGUGAAAUCCUGCAGCUUAACUGUAGACUUGCCAUUGAUACUGGCGCUCUUGAGUGCGCUUGAAGUGGGCGGAAUGUGCCGUGUAGCGGUGAAAUGCUUAGAUAUGGCACAGAACACCAAUUGCGAAGGCAGCUCACUAAGGCGAUACUGACGCUGAGGCACGAAAGCGUGGGGAUCGAACAGGAUUAGAAACCCUGGUAGUCC